rnacentral:rRNA from 1 species
UACGGGGGGAGCAAGCGUUGUUCGGAUUUACUGGGCGUAAAGGGCGCGUAGGCGGUCGUGACAAGUCACUUGUGAAAUCUCCGGGCUUAACUCGGAACGGUCAAGUGAUACUGUCGGACUAGAGUGCAGAAGGGGCAACUGGAAUUCUCGGUGUAGCGGUGAAAUGCGUAGAUAUCGAGAGGAACACCUGCGGCGAAGGCGGGUUGCUGGGCUGACACUGACGCUGAGGCGCGAAAGCCAGGGGAGUGAACGGG